UACGUAGGGGGCUAGCGUUGUCCGGAAUCAUUGGGCGUAAAGAGCGUGUAGGCGGUUCGGUAAGUCCGUCGUGAAAGUCCAGGGCUCAACCCUGGAAAGCCGAUGGAUACUGCCGGACUAGAGUCCGGAAGAGGCGAGUGGAAUUCCUGGUGUAGCGGUGAAAUGCGCAGAUAUCAGGAGGAACACCUAUGGCGAAGGCAGCUCGCUGGGACGGCACUGACGCUGAGACGCGAAAGCGUGGGGAGCAAACAGG
rnacentral:rRNA from 1 species